rnacentral:rRNA from 1 species
UACGAAGGGGGGCUAGCGUUGCUCGGAAUGACUGGGCGUAAAGGGGCGCGUAGGCGGAUGGCACAGUCAGAUGUGGAAAUUCCCGGGCUUAACCUGGGGGCUGCAUUUGAUACGUGUUGUCUUGAGUUCGGAAGAGGGUCGUGGAAUUCCCAGUGUAGAGGUGAAAUUCGUAGAUAUUGGGAAGACACCGGUGGCGAAGGCGGCGACCUGGUCCGACA